rnacentral:rRNA from 1 species
ACUAAUUUGAGUGUUUGAUCCUGGCUCAGGACGAACGCUGGCGGCGUGCCUAGUACAUGCAAGUCGAACGAUCUCUGGUAUCGAUUGGUGCUUGCAUCAUGAUAUACAUUUGAGUGAGUGGCGAACUGCUGAGUAACACGUGGGACACCUGCCCAGCAGCGGCGGAUAACACCUGGUAACAGAUGCUACUACCGCAUAACAACUUGGACCGCAUGGUCCGAGCUUGACAGAUGGCUUCGGCUAUCACUCUUGGAUGGUCCCGCGGCGUAUUAGCUAGAUGGUGUGGUAACGGCUCACCAUGGCAAUGAUACGUAGCCGACCUGAGAGGGUAAUCGGCCACAUUGGGACUGAGACACGGCCCAAACUCCUACGGGAGGCAGCAGUAGGGAAUCUUCCACAAUGGACGAAAGUCUGAUGGAGCAACGCCGCGUGAGUGAAGAAGGGUUUCGGCUCGUAAAACUCUGUUGUUAAAGAAGAACAUAUCUGAGAGUAACUGUUCAGGUAUUGACGGUAUUUAACCAGAAAGCCACGGCUAACUACGUGCCAGCAGCCGCGGUAAUACGUAGGUGGCCAGCGUUGUCCGGAUUUAUUGGGCGUAAAGCGAGCGCAGGCGGUGUAUUAAGUCUGAUGUGAAAGCCUUCGGCUCAACCGAAGAAGUGCAUCGGAAACUGGGAAACUUGAGUGCAGAAGAGGACAGUGGAACUCCAUGUGUAGCGGUGAAAUGCGUAGAUAUAUGGAAGAACACCAGUGGCGAAGGCGGCUGUCUGGUCUGUAACUGACGCUGAGGCUCGAAAGUAUGGGUAGCAAACAGGAUUAGAUACCCUGGUAGUCCAUACCGUAAACGAUGAAUGCUAAGUGUUGGAGGGUUUCCGCCCUUCAGUGCUGCAGCUAACGCAUUAAGCAUUCCGCCUGGGGAGUACGGCCGCAAGGCUGAAACUCAAAGGAAUUGACUCGGCUCCGCACAAGCGGUGGAGCAUGUGGUCUAAUUCGAAGCUACGCGAAGAACCUUACCAGGUCUUGACAUACUAUGCAAAUCUAAGAGAUUAGACGUUCCCUUCGGGGACACGGAUACAGGUGGUGCAUGGUAGUCGUCAGCUCGUGUCGUGAGAUGUUGGGUUAAGUCCCGCAACGAGCGCAACCCUUAUUAUCAGUUGCCAUAAUUAAGUUGGGCACUCUGGUGAGACUGCCGGUGACAAACUUGAGGAAGGU